CAGGCCUAACACAUGCAAGUCGAGCGCACUCUUCGGAGUGAGCGGCGGACGGGUUAGUAACGCGUGGGAACGUGCCCUUCUCUAAGGAAUAGCCACUGGAAACGGUGAGUAAUACCUUAUACGCCCUUCGGGGGAAAGAUUUAUCGGAGAAGGAUCGGCCCGCGUUAGAUUAGAUAGUUGGUGGGGUAACGGCCUACCAAGUCUACGAUCUAUAGCUGGUUUUAGAGGAUGAUCAGCAACACUGGGACUGAGACACGGCCCAGACUCCUACGGGAGGCAGCAGUGGGGAAUCUUGGACAAUGGGCGCAAGCCUGAUCCAGCCAUGCCGCGUGAGUGAUGAAGGCCUUAGGGUCGUAAAGCUCUUUCGCCAGAGAUGAUAAUGACAGUAUCUGGUAAAGAAACCCCGGCUAACUCCGUGCCAGCAGCCGCGGUAAUAC
rnacentral:rRNA from 1 species